GUCUGAAUGUUGAUUCCAUUAAAACAAGGAUUGAAAC
rnacentral:other from 1 species